UACGGAGGGUGCGAGCGUUGUCCGGAAUCACUGGGCGUAAAGGGCGCGUAGGUGGCUCAGUAAGUCAACGGUGAAAGUUCGGGGCUCAACCCUGAAUCGGCCGUCGAUACUCCUGGGCUCGAGCACUGUAGAGGCAGAUGGAAUUCCGGGUGUAGCGGUGGAAUGCGUAGAGAUCCGGAAGAACACCGGUGGCGAAGGCGGUCUGCUGGGCAGUUGCUGACACUGAGGCGCGACAGCGUGGGGAGCAAACAGG
rnacentral:rRNA from 1 species